AUGGACUCAGGAGGCGAUCGAGAAGUGGACUCGGGAGAAAUGCGAGAGGGUUCAUCUAGAGGAGCGGGAAAAGAUGUUGCAGGAGGAACGAUAAAGGAUAUUGUUGGAGAUCAGUUGGACAUCCAUGAGAAAGUAGUUGAGAAAUUUGUUAUGGGUGGUGCAAGCACGAAAGAUAGUUGUUCUGCCCCGCAUCACAAUAUUGAGACCACACCUCCUCAAGUAGAUAACACUAAGAGACUACCAAAGAUGAUAGACGGGAUUACAUAA